rnacentral:rRNA from 1 species
GACGAACGCUGGCGGUGUGCUUAACACAUGCAAGUCGAACGGUAAGGCCCUUUCGGGGGUCCACGAGUGGCGAACGGGUGAGUAACACGUGAGUAACCUGCCCUCAUCUCUGGGAUAACAGUCGGAAACGGUUGCUAAUACUGGAUAUGAGCUUGCAAGGCAUCUUGUGGGUUGGAAAGAUUUUUUUUGGUUGGGGAUGGACUCGCGGCCUAUCAGCUUGUUGGUGAGGUAGUGGCUCACCAAGGCUUCGACGGGUAGCCGGCCUGAGAGGGCGACCGGCCACAUUGGGACUGAGAGACGGCCCAAACUCCUACGGGAGGCAGCAGUGGGGAAUAUUGCACAAUGGACGGAAGUCUGAUGCAGCAACGCCGCGUGCGGGAUGACGGCCUUCGGGUUGUAAACCGCUUUCAAUUGUGACGAAGCUUUUUUGUGACGGUAGCAGUAGAAGAAGCACCGGCUAACUACGUG